rnacentral:rRNA from 1 species
GGCUCAGAUUGAACGCUGGCGGCAGGCUUAACACAUGCAAGUCGAGCGGGGUGAUGGUGCUUGCACUAUCACUUAGCGGCGGACGGGUGAGUAAUGCUUAGGAAUCUGCCUAUUAGUGGGGGACAACAUUUCGAAAGGAAUGCUAAUACCGCAUACGUCCUACGGGAGAAAGCAGGGGAUCUUCGGACCUUGCGCUAAUAGAUGAGCCUAAGUCGGAUUAGCUAGUUGGUGGGGUAAAGGCCUACCAAGGCGACGAUCUGUAGCGGGUCUGAGAGGAUGAUCCGCCACACUGGGACUGAGACACGGCCCAGACUCCUACGGGAGGCAGCAGUGGGGAAUAUUGGACAAUGGGCGCAAGCCUGAUCCAGCCAUGCCGCGUGUGUGAAGAAGG